rnacentral:tRNA from 1 species
AAAAUCCGCCGACUUUAGAAAUCCCCCC